AGGACGAACGCUGGCGGCGUGCUUAACACAUGCAAGUCGAGCGGAAAGGCCACUUCGGUGGUACUCGAGCGGCGAACGGGUGAGUAACACGUGAGUAAUCUGCCCUUGGCUUUGGGAUAGCCACCGGAAACGGUGAUUAAUACCGGAUACGACCGCUCCUCGCAUGAGGUGGUGGUGGAAAGUUUUUCGGCCAGGGAUGUGCUCGCGGCCUAUCAGCUUGAUGGUGAGGUAAUGGCUCACCAUGGCUUCGACGGGUAGCCGGCCUGAGAGGGGUGACCGGUCACACUGGGACUGAGACACGGCCCAGACUCCUACGGGAGCAGCAGUGGGGAAUAUUGGACAAGUGGGCGGAAGCCUGAUCCGAGCAACGCCGCGUGAGGAUGACGGCCUUCGGGUGUAAACCUCGUUUACGGUAGGACGAAGCGACGAAGUGACGGUAACCUAGUAAAGAACGCACCGGCCAACUACGUCGCCAGCAGACCGC
rnacentral:rRNA from 1 species